GACGAACGCUGGCGGCGUGCCUAAUACAUGCAAGUAGAACGCUGAAGGAGGAGCUUGCUCUUCUGGAUGAGUUGCGAACGGGUGAGUAACGCGUAGGUAACCUGCCUGGUAGCGGGGGAUAACUAUUGGAAACGAUAGCUAAUACCGCAUAACAGUAGAUGUCGCAUGACAUUUGCUUAAAAGGUGCAAUUGCAUCACUACCAGAUGGACCUGCGUUGUAUUAGCUAGUUGGUGAGGUAACGGCUCACCAAGGCAACGAUACAUAGCCGACCUGAGAGGGUGAUCGGCCACACUGGGACUGAGACACGGCCCAGACUCCUACGGGAGGCAGCAGUAGGGAAUCUUCGGCAAUGGGCGGAAGUCUGACCGAGCAACGCCGCGUGAGUGAAGAAGGUUUUCGGAUCGUAAAGCUCUGUUGUAAGAGAAGAACGAGUGUGAGAGU
rnacentral:rRNA from 1 species